GUGUCAGCCGCCGCGGUAAGACGAAGGUGGCGAGCGUUGUUCGGAAUCACUGGGCAUAAAGCGCACGUAGGCGGUGCCGUAAGUCGGAUGUGAAAUCCCUCGGCCUAACCGAGGAACUGCGUCCGAUACUGCGGUGCUUGAGGAUCAGAGGGGUGCAUGGAAUUUCCGGUGGAGCGGUGAAAUGCGUUGAUAUCGGAAGGAACUCCGGCGGCGAAAGCGAUGCACUGGCUGAUUUCUGACGCUGAGGUGCGAAAGCCAGGGGAGCAAACGGGAUUAGAUACCCCGGUAGUCC
rnacentral:rRNA from 1 species